CCUACGGGAGGCAGCAGUGAGGAAUAUUGGACAAUGGCCGAGAGGCUGAACCAGCCAAGUCGCGUGAGGGAAGACGGCCCUACGGGUUGUAACCUCUUUUGUCGGGGAGCAAAACGAACCACGUUGGGUUCCUUGAGACUACCCGCAGCAACAGCAUCGGCUCAGUCCGUGCCAGCAGCCGCGGUAAUGCGGAGGAUGCGAGCGUUAUCCGGAUUUAUUGGGUUAAAAGGGUGCGUAGGCGGAAGGUUAAGUCAGAGGGAAAAUGCCGGUGCUCAACACCGGCCUGCUGUUGAAACUGGUCGUCUGGAGUGAGGGAGAAGUAUGCGGAAUGCGUGGUGUAGCGGUGAAAUGCAUAGAUAUCACGAAGAACUCCGAUGGCGAAGGCAGCUUACUGGAGUGUAACUGACGCUGAGGCACGAAAGCGUGGGGAUCGAACAGGAUUAGAUACCCCUGUAGUC
rnacentral:rRNA from 1 species